rnacentral:tRNA from 1 species
GGCGCUGUGGCUCAGUGGUAGAGCACUAGCCUUAAGCUGAAGAGCUGAGGGACAGCGCCC